rnacentral:rRNA from 1 species
GAUGAACGCUGGCGGCGUGCCUAACACAUGCAAGUCGAGCGAACAGACGAGGAGCUUGCUCCUCUGACGUUAGCGGCGGACGGGUGAGUAACACGUGGAUAACCUACCUAUAAGACUGGGAUAACUUCGGGAAACCGGAGCUAAUACCGGAUAAUAUAUUGAACCGCAUGGUUCAAUAGUGAAAGACGGUUUUGCUGUCACUUAUAGAUGGAUCCGCGCCGCAUUAGCUAGUUGGUAAGGUAACGGCUUACCAAGGCAACGAUGCGUAGCCGACCUGAGAGGGUGAUCGGCGACACUGGAGCUGAGACACGGUCCAGACGCCUACGAGAGGCAGCAGUAGGGAAUCUUCCGCAAUGGGCGAAAGCCUGACGGAGCAACGCCGCGUGAGUGAUGAAGGUCUUCGGAUCGUAAAGCUCUGUUAUUAGGGAAGAACAAAUGUGUAAGUAACUAUGCACGUCUUGACGGUACCUAAUCAGAAAGCCACGGCUAACUACGUG